GGCGGCGUUCCGUACCACUUCAGCAUGCAUUUUCUCCCUCGGGUUUGAAUCAUGUGAUACAAAGGCGCUGAGUCUGCGCAGAAAGACCCGAACGUGCAUCCGCGGAGCUGUGACGUCUUUCUCCAGCACGCAUGAUUCCUCCAGAUGGGAGAUGCGAGGUACUGUAUAUUAUGCUUUCAACUGAGGAAAAGGAAGGGAUUACACAAGGAAUCGACGACUGCCAUCGCAUAUUUUGAUCCAUUAAAAUGUGCAAAAGGCCACGUGAGGGAGGCUAAAUUAUCUUCAAUUAUAUAGCCGAGGCAGCCAUGCUGGGCGCUGGAGCUGCACUAUGGUCUAGGAUUCCUCGUACAUAAAGCAUCCUCCAUUCAUAUGUGCACAGUCUUAAUAAAACACUGUUUUCCAACACCAUUUUAGGAUUUUCGGACGUUCAGCCAAGGUUGUGCAACAUAAGAUGUCUGAAAAUGGUGAUGCAAAAUUAUGUUUUAUUAAAGAUGUACUCCGGUACUUUGGCAACUAAAGGUAUUUUUUUAAACCUCCCGCUUUGGGCUGGAUGUGUCAAUGUAGUUCAUACAUGCAUAAUCUAUUAACCAAAUUACUGUUUUACCUCAGUAAGCAAUGAAAUCCAUAGUUUGAAAGCGACUGUUUUCUUGAAGCUGUACCAAGCCAUUUUCCCUACAUUUCCCGCAUUUGAGUGACUGCUAGUAAGAGGCCUACCCAGUGUUAUCCAAUGAGGUUGCAGGGCGGACACAGCUGAGAGAGGGAGGGAGCGCUCAAUGACGUGGUGCACAAAUCCGCGUAUAUGUGAUGUAUGCAAUUUUUGGGGACCACUUUUGUCUCGUGAGUGCUACGUUCAGAACUACUGGCUUAAAAGUAUAAAAAAGUACCGGAGAAUCUCUUUUUAGACUGUACCACAGAAAUGGAUAGAGGGGUACUUCUAGUGGCCAAAAGGUCGUUUUCUCAUGGGCAGCGCAAUUGAAGGCUUCCACCAUUUUAAUGUAUUCAACUGCUUGGGAUUUCCAACUUAGUUUGCACUACUUUGCACCCUGAAUAGAGGAUGCUUUAUGUGUGAGCUGGUACACAAGUGUAUUACCGGCUGGGCGCAUCAAUCCUAGGUGAUAGAUCUGCACUAUUGGCUGCCUAGGCUACUUCAAUAAUAGGCCUACAUUUAGGCCUAUAACCAAUCAAUUUCCUUAGCUAUUAGUAGUAAACUGGGAGAUUAAUUAAAUGCAUGUUCAUGUGUUAUCGUUUUGAUGAUUAAAUUACAAGACUGAUCUACAGUUCUUCGAUGUGCUUCUUUUUUUGUGUUUAACUUUAUUGCUUAUUAUCUAUUGAUACAUUUUGGUUUGUAUUUAUUCCUAGUUGCAUAAUGUCCAAAUAUCUAUGACUCAUACAUUUUUAUACUAUGUUGCAAUUUAGCUUAGUAGUCAUCAUUUGUAAUUAAUUUGUCAUAUUUCCAAAGUAAGCAAAUGUUUUGAGGAAUGCA
rnacentral:lncRNA from 1 species